GACGAACGCUGGCGGAGUGCUUAACACAUGCAAGUCGAACGAUGAAGCCGGAGCUUGCUCUGGUGAAUUAGUGGCGAACGGGUGAGUAACACGUGAGUAACCUGCCCUUGACUCUGGGAUAACUGCUAGAAAUGGUAGCUAAUACCGGAUACGACCCUCGGAGGCAUCUCCAGGGGGUGGAAAGAAUUUCGGUCAAGGAUGGACUCGCGGCCUAUCAGCUAGUUGGUGAGGUAACGGCUCACCAAGGCGACGACUGGUAGCCUGCCUGAGAGGGUGACCGGCCACACUGGGACUGCGACACGGCCCAGACUUCUACGGGCGGCAGCAGUCUGGAAUAUUGCACAAUGGGCGCAAGCCUGAUGCAUCAACGCCGCUUGGGGGAUGACGGCCUUCGGGUUGUAAACCUCUUUUAGUAGGGAAUAAGCGAAAGUGACGGUACCUGCAGAAAAAGCACCGGCUAUCUACGUUCCAGCCGCCGCGGUAA
rnacentral:rRNA from 1 species